rnacentral:rRNA from 1 species
UACGUAGGGUGCGAGCGUUAAUCGGAAUUACUGGGCGUAAAGCGUGCGCAGGCGGUGAUGUAAGACCGAUGUGAAAUCCCCGGGCUUAACCUGGGAACUGCAUUGGUGACUGCAUUGCUCGAGUAUGGCAGAGGGGGGUGGAAUUCCACGUGUAGCAGUGAAAUGCGUAGAGAUGUGGAGGAACACCGAUGGCGAAGGCAGCCUCCUGGGCCAGCACUGACGCUCAUGCACGAAAGCGUGGGGAGCAAACAGG